rnacentral:rRNA from 1 species
UUUCGGACAAUGGGCGCAAGCCUGAUCCAGCCAUGCCGCGUGAGUGAAGAAGGCCUUCGGGUUGUAAAGCUCUUUCGGUGGGGACGAAAAGGUUCGUGCUAAUACCACGGACUAAUGACGGUACCCGAAGAAGAAGCACCGGCUAACUACGUGCCAGCAGCCGCGGUAAUACGUAGGGUGCAGGCGUUAGUCGGAAUUACUGGGCGUAAAGCGUGCGCAGGCGGUUUGUUAAGACAGAUGUGAAAUCCCCGGGCUUAACCUGGGAACUGCCUUUGUAACUGGCAAGCUAGAGUGUGGCAGAGGGGGGUAGAAUUCCAGGUGUAGCAGUGAAAUGCGUAGAUAUCUGGAGGAAUACCGAUGGCGAAGGCAGCCCCCUGGGUUAACACUGACGCUCAUGCACGAAA